rnacentral:rRNA from 1 species
AACGAACGCUGGCGGCAGGCCUAACACAUGCAAGUCGAGCGCGCCUUCGGGUGAGCGGCGGGCGGCUGAGUAGCGCGUCGGAAUAUGCCCUUCUCUAUGGCCUAGCCCUGGCAUAGGGGUGGCAAUACCGAACACGCCCUACGGGGGAAUGAUUGCUCGGGGAGGGUUGGGGGCGCGUUGGAUUGGCUGGUGGGUGGGGUAGUGGCCUAGCUAGUCGACGAUGCAUGGCUGGAUUGGGAGCAUGAUCCGUCACACUGGGACUGAGACACGGACCAGACUCCUAGGGGAGGGAGCAGUAGGGAAUCUUAGAGAAGGGAGGCAAACCUGAUAUCGCCAUGCGGCGGGAGUGGGCCAGGCGUUAGGGUUGUAAAGCUCUCUCAGAUGGGAAGAGAGUGACGGUACCAGGAGAAGAAGCCCCGGCUAACUACGUG